rnacentral:rRNA from 1 species
UGAGGAAUAUUGGUCAAUGGGCGCAAGCCUGAACCAGCCAAGCCGCGUGAAGGAUGACGGCCCUAUGGGUUGUAAACUGCUUUUGUAUGGGAGCAAUAAGGUCUUCGUGAAGGCCGAUGAGAGUACCAUACGAAUAAGCACCGGCUAACUCCGUGCCAGCAGCCGCGGUAAUACGGAGGGUGCAAGCGUUAUCCGGAUUUAUUGGGUUUAAAGGGUGCGUAGGCGGUUAUAUAAGUCAGCGGUGAAAUUUUUCGGCUCAACCGGAAACAUGCCGUUGAUACUGUAUAGCUUGAAUAUGGUUGCUGUGAGUGGAAUGUGUAGUGUAGCGGUGAAAUGCUUAGAUAUUACACAGAAUAUCGAUUGCGAAGGCAACUCACAAAGCCAUUAUUGACGCUGAGGCACGAAAGUGUGGGGAUCAAACA